rnacentral:rRNA from 1 species
GAAGGGUGCAAGCGUUACUCGGAAUUACUGGGCGUAAAGCGUGCGUAGGUGGUUCGUUAAGUCUGAUGUGAAAGCCCUGGGCUCAACCUGGGAAUGGCAUUGGAUACUGGCGGACUGGAGUGCGGUAGAGGAUGGCGGAAUUCCCGGUGUAGCAGUGAAAUGCGUAGAGAUCGGGAGGAACAUCCGUGGCGAAGGCGGCCAUCUGGACCAGCACUGACACUGAGGCACGAAAGCGUGGGGAGCAAACAGGAUUAGAUACCCUGGUAGUCCACGCCCUAAACGAUGCGAACUGGAUGUUGGGAGCAACUAGGCUCUCAGUAUCGAAGCUAACGCGUUAAGUUCGCCGCCUGGGGAGUACGGUCGCAAGACUG